ensembl:misc_RNA 7SK 7SK RNA
GGGUUGCGAGCAUGCUCCAGCUAGGACGUCUGUUACCUACCUCACUGAUCAUCAGGGCUGAUUAAGUUGACCUGGCUGGUUAUGUGUGUGUCCCUGUUUUCCCUCAUAUUCCAUGUAUAUCCUUCUCAAAACUGUUUUAGCACAAGGAGUAGAAGCUUCCCCAACAGAAGAGAAUUAUUCUUCAGCUACAUAUACAGGAGAAGCUAAGCGCCAUUACUGGAAUGUUCAGAUAAUGUUCAAGGUCAUCUGAAGAACAAUGUAGGCCUGCCACACUUCCAAGGUUCCAGUCACUUCCAAAUGAGAGACUCUGUGCAGGAGUCUGCAUUCU